rnacentral:misc_RNA from 1 species
CAACCAUCAAGCCCCGGGCUUGUGUUGGGGCCCUGCGGCUGCCGCAGGCCCCGAAAACCAGUGGCGGGCUCGCUGUCACACCGAGCGUAGUAGUUACCACCUCGCUCCGGCCGUGCCGCGGGUUCCGGCCGUUAAACCCCCCACUUUCCAAA